CGUAGCGGAGAUGAGGUGCUUGCACCUUAUCUUAGCGGCGGACGGGUGAGUAAUGCUUAGGAAUCUGCCUAUUAGUGGGGGACAACAUUCCGAAAGGAAUGCUAAUACCGCAUACGUCCUACGGGAGAAAGCAGGGGAUCUUCGGACCUUGCGCUAAUAGAUGAGCCUAAGUCGGAUUAGCUAGUUGGUGGGGUAAAGGCCUACCAAGGCGACGAUCUGUAGCGGGUCUGAGAGGAUGAUCCGCCACACUGGGACUGAGACACGGCCCAGACUCCUACGGGAGGCAGCAGUGGGGAAUAUUGGACAAUGGGGGGAACCCUGAUCCAGCCAUGCCGCGUGUGUGAAGAAGGCCUUAUGGUUGUAAAGCACUUUAAGCGAGGAGGAGGCUACUGAGACUAAUACUCUUGGAUAGUGGACGUUACCUCGCAGAAUAAGCACCGGCUAACUCUGUGCCAGCAGCCGCGGUAAUACAGAGGGUGCGAGCGUUAAUC
rnacentral:rRNA from 1 species